rnacentral:misc_RNA from 1 species
GAGAAGGAGAGAGAGAGAGAGAGAUAGAUGGAAGGCCAUACUUUUCAACAUGCUUGAGAAGCAUAAUGAGUUUGAUUCAUUGUGUUUUAGUUUUUCAUUUUCUAGAGAUGAUAUGCAGCAUCAACGAUUUAAGAAUGUUAAAGAACUUGUACAAGGUAUAAUAUAAGUGUAAGAAAGGAAUGUGAUAUCCUUUACUAAACUCCACCUCAACUAUUCACAUUGAACAGAAUUGAUGUACUUCUGAAACGCAUUUUUUAUGUUGCAGCAAUUAGCAGUAACGAAGUUUUAAGGAAGAGAACAACAUGCAAAAGCCAAAGACCUCAAUCUUGAAAGAUGUUAAGAGUUGCAGAAAAUUUCCAAAUCAACCUCAAGCUGUCAGUCCUUGGCUCAAAACUUUGCAGGAUUCAUCAUCUCUUCAUUUCCAUUGCAGUGAUUGAUGCAAAAGAAUGGCAAAAAGUAACAGAUAAAUCCUCGAUACUUUGCACACCUCAUGUGUUAUGAAUAAUUUUCAGGCCCAUCCGAGGGUACUGAGUUUCCUUUCUGUUUGAAGAUUUCCACUUCCAAGUGACAAUUGAUGAGCUCAAACAAUCCAAGACUGCUAUCUAUAUAAUGCAUAUAUAAUGCAAAGUUUUAGAAUAAAUUACCUUAAUGCUCUAACAGCAGUUACCCAACUGCCCUCACUUGAUGGAAGAAGACCAAGACAAACUCGAUUAGCAACUCCUCUAGGGGCUAUCAUCCGAUUAUCUCCUUCAAGUACAACACUUCGAUCUGACACAGAAUUUGCUUCAAGAUUGCGUUUGAGCGCCUCAACAGCAUGGGGAUUCCAUUCACAAGCAUAAACCAGCUUUGCUCCAGCCCUAACGAGGAAUGGCAACACAAAAUAUCCAAUUCCAGCAAAUAAAUCCACUAUAGCCUCAUCCUGACAGUCCAAAUGUGCCAUGCGAAGCUUCUCAGAAAGAUUACCCCAGGAAAACAUGCACUUGGUAGCAUCAAAAGAAUAGAGAAUUCCAUUCUCUUUGUGAUCAACCCAGCCGUUAUCUCCCACCAGAAUCUCCAAAGUACUGUCCCUUGUUCCAGUUGGUGCAACUCGGCCUUUGCGAGCCAGACGCUGACAAUUAAGUGAUCUGGCAAUGGUAGGCCAGAGCUCCUCCCCUAUUAAGUCCCAUGAUGGGUCCUUGAAGGAUGUUAUAGGAAGCACAAAAAUAUCUCCCACUUGCUCCCAUCUAGUGGGUAGCUGCUCUAAUAGUUCUGAUGAUAUGCCCUUACAUUUGAUCAAGGAAGCUACAGCUUCUUUCAUUAUCUGCAAGGGAGAUUUCACAGUUCUUCUGACUUCAGCAACCUCAUCUGCCAACACAGUAGCACCACAUUCCUUGAGGAGAAACAUGGCCGUUGAGCAAGAAACCUCAUUUAAUAAAAACCCUUCCUCAGUAAUAUUGUUCUGCCCUUCAACUACAUCUCCAUAUUGAUGCUGAAUUUUAGAGAACACGGCAUAGAAUUUUUCAGUGAUAGGGAAACAAAUGGCCAACUCAUCCUUCUCUGAACGAACCUUCCUUGUAAGAUCUAACCAUCCAAAUUUCUUCAACAUGUCCUUCCCUAAUUUUGCACAUUUCUUUUCAAGCUUUAGCACCCAACAUGAAGCAACCGAUGGACAUUGCUUGGCCUCAAAAUCAAACCUACAACUGUAUGUUGAAUUUUCUGCAUUUCCAACUUGAGAGCCCUGGUUAAUAUU